CUUUGACCAGUGGGGAAGACCAGAGCCCUGUCCCUGCUUGUCCCUUUAGGGACGUUGCUGAGAAGCUGGUACCUCAAAAAUCAGGGUCUCCAGUUUCCCUAUCGUUCCUAGCAGAGGGGAAGUCAGAGGCCCAGAGGAGUAGCAAGUCCAAAGUCACACAGCAAGUCUGGUCAGGACCAGCUUGGGGUCAGCUCUUGCCACAGUUCCACCCACUGUAGAGUCCUGGUGUCUGGCGGGGGUCCUGCCUACUGGCCCUGUUGCCCCCCCAGCCCCCAGUGACUGCAGCCUCUGCCUCUGCAGGGCCUGGAAAUUCACACCACCAGCAAUUGCCAGCACUUUGUGUCCCAAGUGGACACCCAGGUUCCCACUGACUCCCAGCUGCAGAUCCAACCUGGAGACGAGGUUGUCCAGAUCAACGAGCAGGUGGUGGUGGGAUGGCCCCGUAAGAACAUGGUGAGGGAGCUGCUGCGGGAGCCAGCCGGACUCAGCUUAGUGCUAAAGAAGAUCCCGAUACCGGAGACCCCCCCACAGGUACCUUCCCCGGCCGCCCCCAAGCUGCCUUCAGAC
rnacentral:lncRNA from 1 species